rnacentral:rRNA from 1 species
CGACCGGCGCACGGGUGAGUAACACGUAUCCAACCUGCCGAUGACUCGGGGAUAGCCUUUCGAAAGAAAGAUUAAUACCCGAUGGCAUAGUUCUUCCGCAUGGUAGAACUAUUAAAGAAUUUCGGUCAUCGAUGGGGAUGUGUUCCAUUAGCUUGUUGGCGGGGUAACGGCCCACCAAGGCAUCGAUGGAUAGGGGUUCUGAGAGGAAGGUCCCCCACAUUGGAACUGAGACACGGUCCAAACUCCUACGGAAGGCAGCAG